UGGCCCGGAGUCGGUUGGUGCAGCUGCGUCCCCGCCGCUCAGCAGUCCGCGGCUCCGGCGUCGCCGCCGCCGCCUCUGCGGGGCCUGCGCCGGCCGGCCGCCCGCCCGCCCUGCCGCGGGGAGGGAGGCCCGCAGCGCGGGAAGAGUGGCCCGGUCGCGGGCGCCGCCACCGCUGCCGCUGCCAGGACUGAAAUGCAACUGCAGAAGCAACAUGCAACCUUUUAAAGAUGCUUAUGGGACUGCAUAAAGUGAAGAGGGAAACGGGAGAAAACAAUGAAGUAAGGAAAAAAUUGAAUAGGGAAAACCUGCUUUCUGCAAACAACUGAAAAAGCUGCACUUAGAAACUGUUUCUUUGGCCGUCAUCGAGAAGCCGGAACUUGUAUUGUGAGGCCCCUGAUGGGACAAGCUCUCAACUGCUGAUCACCCAGUGAUUGUCACCAUGGCCAGCAAGAGGAAAUCCACCACACCAUGCAUGAUCCCAGUGAAGACGGUGGUGGUGCAGGAUGCCAGCAUGGAGGCCCAGCCUGCUGAGACCUUGCCUGAAGGACCCCAGCAGGAUCUGCCCUCAGAAGCACCUGUUGCCAGCAGUGAGGCAGCGCAGAACCCCAGCAGUACUGAUGGCUCUGCACUGGCCAAUGGGCAUCGGAGCACUUUAGAUGGCUAUUUAUAUUCCUGUAAAUACUGCGAUUUCAGAUCCCAUGAUAUGACUCAAUUUGUGGGACAUAUAAACUCAGAGCACACAGACUUUAAUAAAGACCCAACUUUUGUAUGCAGUGGGUGCAGUUUUCUGGCAAAAACCCCUGAGGGGCUUUCCUUGCACAAUGCCACGUGUCACUCCGGGGAAGCCAGCUUUGUGUGGAAUGUGGCCAAGCCAGACAAUCAUGUGGUUGUGGAGCAGAGCGUCCCUGAGAGCACCAGCACUCCUGACUUAGCAGGUGAGCCCAGUGCCGAAGGGGCCGAUGGACAGGCAGAAAUCAUCAUUACCAAAACUCCAAUCAUGAAGAUAAUGAAAGGCAAAGCUGAAGCCAAAAAAAUUCAUACACUCAAGGAGAAUGUCCCUAGCCAGCCUGUGGGUGAGGCCUUACCAAAGCUGUCGACUGGAGAAAUGGAGGUGAGAGAGGGGGACCAUUCCUUCAUCAAUGGGGCAGUUCCAGUCAGCCAGGCAUCUGCCAGCUCUGCAAAAAACCCCCAUGCUGCCAAUGGGCCCCUCAUAGGAACAGUGCCAGUUUUGCCAGCUGGCAUAGCACAGUUCCUCUCCCUCCAGCAGCAGCCCCCAGUGCAUACCCAACACCAUGCCCACCAGCCACUGCCCACAGCCAAGGCCCUUCCCAAAGUGAUGAUCCCCCUGAGCAGCAUUCCAACGUACAAUGCAGCCAUGGACUCUAACAGCUUCCUGAAGAACUCCUUCCACAAGUUCCCCUACCCCACCAAAGCCGAGCUCUGCUAUUUGACUGUGGUGACCAAGUAUCCAGAAGAACAGCUCAAGAUCUGGUUCACAGCCCAAAGGCUGAAGCAGGGGAUCAGCUGGUCCCCUGAGGAGAUUGAGGAUGCCCGGAAAAAGAUGUUCAAUACAGUCAUCCAGUCUGUGCCUCAGCCCACAAUUACGGUUCUAAAUACCCCACUCGUCGCCAGUGCUGGCAAUGUACAGCAUCUCAUCCAGGCCGCUCUCCCAGGUCAUGUUGUGGGGCAGCCAGAGGGUACAGGAGGGGGACUUCUGGUCACUCAGCCAUUGAUGGCCAAUGGGUUGCAAGCAACAAGUUCCUCUCUCCCCCUCACGGUGACGUCUGUGCCCAAGCAGCCAGGUGUGGCCCCCAUUAACACUGUGUGUUCGAAUACAACGUCAGCUGUGAAGGUGGUCAAUGCAGCCCAGUCGCUCCUCACGGCCUGUCCCAGUAUAACUUCCCAAGCCUUCCUUGAUGCUAGCAUCUACAAAAACAAGAAAUCUCAUGAACAACUGUCAGCUCUGAAAGGGAGCUUUUGUCGGAACCAGUUCCCAGGGCAGAGCGAAGUUGAGCAUCUCACCAAAGUGACGGGCCUCAGUACCAGAGAGGUGCGGAAAUGGUUCAGUGACCGUAGAUACCACUGCCGGAACUUGAAGGGCUCCAGAGUGAUGAUGGCUGGAGAUCACAGCUCCAUGAUCAUUGACUCUGUACCAGAGGUGUCCUUCUCCCCAUCAUCCAAGGUCCCUGAGGUAACCUGCAUCCCGACAACAGCCACACUAGCAACCCACCCUUCUGCCAAACGACAAUCUUGGCACCAGACUCCUGACUUCACACCAACCAAAUACAAGGAGAGAGCCCCUGAGCAGCUCAGAGCCCUGGAGAGCAGUUUUGCACAAAACCCUCUUCCUCUUGAUGAGGAACUGGACCGCCUGAGAAGUGAAACCAAAAUGACCCGACGAGAAAUUGAUAGCUGGUUUUCAGAGAGACGGAAAAAAGUGAAUGCUGAGGAGACCAAGAAGGCCGAGGAGAAUGCCUCUCAGGAGGAAGAGGAGGCUGUUGAGGAUGAGGGUGGAGAAGAGGAUUUGGCCAGUGAGCUAAGGGUCUCUGGUGAAAAUGGCUCUCUGGAAAUGCCCAGCAGUCAUAUCUUGGCAGAGCGCAAAGUCAGCCCCAUUAAAAUCAACCUGAAGAACCUGCGGGUCACUGAAGCCAAUGGCAGGAACGAGAUUCCAGGGCUGGGUGCCUGUGACCCUGAGGAUGAUGGGUCAAACAAACUGGCAGAGCAGCUCCCAGGCAAAGUGAGCUGCAAAAAGACUGCCCAGCAGCGGCACUUGCUGCGGCAGCUCUUUGUCCAGACACAGUGGCCAAGCAACCAGGACUAUGACUCCAUCAUGGCCCAGACGGGUCUGCCGCGGCCGGAGGUGGUGCGCUGGUUUGGAGACAGCAGGUACGCACUGAAGAAUGGCCAACUCAAGUGGUACGAAGACUAUAAGCGAGGCAACUUUCCACCAGGUCUACUGGUCAUUGCCCCUGGCAACCGGGAGCUCCUGCAGGACUAUUACAUAACACACAAGAUGCUGUAUGAAGAGGACCUGCAGAACCUCUGUGACAAGACUCAGAUGAGCUCCCAGCAGGUCAAGCAGUGGUUUGCUGAGAAAAUGGGGGAGGAGACCAGAGCCGUGGCAGACACAGGCAGUGAGGACCAGGGCCCUGGUACUGGUGAGCUCACAGCAGUUCACAAAGGGAUGGGUGACACCUAUUCAGAGGUGUCUGAGAACAGUGAGUCGUGGGAGCCCAGUGUCCCUGAGGCCAACUCAGAGCCCUUUGACACAUCGAGUCCCCAGGCUGGACGUCAGCUCGUCAACAUGGAAAUGUGAUGAGUGGAUUUGAAUCACAAGCAUUGGCUCCCCUCAGCUACUAAAUCCAACACAAAGUGACAUGUUGCUGUCCUUUGUGGGACAGAGCAGGAAUGGCAGGGGGUGGCCAUGCCAUUGGCAUUGUCCUCUUCUGUCUGAGACAGAAACAGACUGAAUUUGAUCGGAUUCAUGUGAAGGACUGGCCAGUCUGGGAAACCGCCUGCCACGUGGAAGAGCCAAGCCCAACUCUCUGCUGCCACAUGCUGUUCCAUGCCUGGUUGCUGAGCACCUGGGAGAGCUUCCAGAGUCCUCGCAGACAGCCCAGAGCCUGCCGCUACCCUCGGCCUGUCCACCACCAAGCAAGUAGCAAGCAAGAUGGGGUUCUCAUCAGUUCUUCCUCCCACAAUGUAGGACCUUUCCUUUACCUUCCAGUGGAUAAAAUAGUUCAGAUUUCAUAGUCAUAUUCAUAGACACAGAAUCAAGCUUUUAACAUAUACAUCCACCUCUAUAUGUUAAAUAAAACAUCAGAUUAUCAACACUGUCAUUACGUAGAAACUUUGGUUAGCCAAGCAGUGCAUUGUCAUUUAUGUCAUCUCUAAAAAUGACCUGUGUCUGUUCUCUGGGGAUUGCUGGGUCACAGAUGCCCCUCACCUUCCACAGUCAGACUGGGAGGUUACAGACACAAAGCUACAUCUGGAAUCCCUUUGUGCCCCCUUUGUGUUCCUCAGUGAAGCAAUACCUUUGAAGAGGUCUCUGCUGCAUUAAAUGGCGACUGGCUACCAUUCAUGCCAGGCUUGCUUUGCCUGUGGGCUACUCAGAACCUGCUGUAACCCUCAGCUCAAAAAAUGGACUGGUAAUGUGAGUAGUGUUGGAUGCUUUACCGCUCUCUUUAGUUGUUACUGUAAUUCUGCUUUUUCAUGGGAGUUUGAAUCGUGGACCAUAACUUUUCAGUUAUCAGAUCAACUAAAGAAACAUUUGUUGUUAAGCCUAAUGUGCUGACCUAUGUGCCUGCAUUUUUUUUUUUUCAUCUAGACAUGUUUGGAGUGAGAGAAAUAUGGAAAAAAGAAAUGGGGUAGGGAUGUAAGUGGAAGUCUGUAGCCACAGCCUGUAGAUUUGACCUCUGCAGUUUUCAGAGCCCUUUCUCCACACUCAUUUCAGAGCCUCCUAUGGUUUUGGGAAGGAAUAACACACUGGCCCAUUAGUAAGGGUGAAGGCUGGAGGGAUUUGUUGACUUCUUGGAAUUAUCAGAGAUAGGGUGGUCUUUAGCACAAAGACUUGCAUGCAGGGAUCCCUGGCAGAACACCCAGAAUGCCCCUGGCUCCCACCCCGGUGUGCUGGCCGGUGUGCUGGAUGCACGCCCGAGGGUGCUGGGCAUCACUGGUCCUUGUGAGGAUGCUUUUAAAGUUCUAUAUUUAUAUCCCCAAACUUGGAAACAAGAACUCUACUUUAGCCUAACCCUCAUGUCCUUUUUUGAAUUGAGAAAAUUACAGGAAAGGGUGCCUUUGAAAAUUAGAAAACUUGCUUACAGAGCUGUACUAAAUGGUAAAUCCUCAAUUUCCCCAAGACCGGUUGCUCUGAGAGUAGCUGGUAAAGAGGGGCAAACUAAAGACCUGUCCACCUGUAGCUCCACUGACGUCUUAGAAACCACCUGCUUCCCAGAGUGCCAAGCCACAGGUACCAGGCUUCGUGGGCACAGAAGCCUCCUGGGCUGGACUGGGUGAGAGUGCUGGAAGACCCCAGAGAGAGGGCAAGGGCUUUGGGCAAGAAGCACUGGUGGUGGUUCAGGGACUGUCCUCCCCCACCCAGGGAACUGGACCUGGCAGGGCACCGUGCUCAUGUGGCUCCAAGGACAAGCGUGGCAGUGACCCCUCUGCCUUCCAGGAGAGGGCUGGCUUUGGAAACCAAAAUCGUGUUCUUCUAAAGUAUCAUCUUCUGCCCUCCCUGUCCCAAUAGGGAGCACAUCUUAUUUGUCUCAAACAGGGACUUGUGAAUACUUGGCAAGUUUUGCAGCCUAUUUUUGUAUUCUUAAUUUGGGGAGUGAAGAUGUUUGGUCUCAAAAACCUUUGAGGAAUUGCCAAGAAUGGCGAGUGAUUGCUUUCCUUCAGAGAACAGACACUUGGAAUUUCUCCUUUUAGUGUUUAUAUACGUGCAGAUUAAUUUAUAUAUAUAUAUACACACACACACACAGUAUAAAUACUCAUUUGAUUCUCAUAAAACGUGCAUCUGGCAUGUGCAGUUGAGAAACUUGGUGGCACAUGGGUAUUGGGGAAGUAGCCUGUGUUGGAGGGGCACCAGUGCACUAGGUGUCUGGGGUGGCCCAGGCCGAAGCCAUCUCCAGGUGUCUGAGAAACCACCCAGUGCCUCACCUCCAGAUCCUGCUGGCAUCACCUCCAGAGCCCUGCAUGCACUGGCUGAAGUUGGUCUAUGGAGAGGAUUUUCUUGGUUACUUGUAUUCACAGUUAACUUACAACCCAAACAGCAAAACACAGUUGGUGGACAAGUUCAUGCAGGACCUAGAGUGACCCAGCCAUGGGCACUAACUCGUCUUUCAGGUGGAAAAGUACAGUGCUGCCUGCCCUGGUAUGUUUUUCUUACAGAUGUUAGCCCUGCCCAGCAGCCAGGGCUACACCACAAAAGGCAAGAAUGCCCAUGUUAAGGAGCCCAGCAGUCUGGACAGAUCCUUCUUCCUCUGCUCUUGGAUGAGAGUGAGUGAGUAUGGUCUGGACCUUAUCCUUGAAAGGUGAUCAAAAGCGAUGAUGAGGGAGGCAGUCACCACGCAGGUGCUUAAAGGGACGUUGUAGGAGGUACUCAAGGGUUUGGGGGCAAAACCCUGAAUGCAGCCAAUCGUGCACAGAGACACACCCAUGCUAGCCCAGUGGCAGUGGGGGAUGUGGGAUGGCAGCAGCCAGGUGUGUGGCCCUGUCACAGGACAGCUCAUUGUGGUUUUGCACACUGCCAAAGGGUUAACUUUUGUUGUUGCCUUCAGUAGAAGGCAUUUGUGGGCUGCAGAGUUGAGAGGUGGGUGAGGUUAGUCUCUCCUGAAGAAAAAGCCUAUAAGAAGUGGCUCAUCUUAUCCGUUUUCUCUGUAUGCAGUUGGACUUGUCAGAGAUAGUAAAAUCAUCUUUUAUUGUUUUUUGUUGUUCUUGCUGAUGUCCUAUACCUGUUUGUUUUUUACAUGGGGUUGUAGACCCAGUUUUCAUAGGUGAACCAGAUCAUCAUUCUGAUAAAGGAAAUUUAAAUUUGAUACAUGUGCUUUGUAUAUUUUGAUUACUUGUUUUCGUUUUUGACUAUAAAGGAGCUUUUUUAUUUUGGGAGGGGAGGAGUAUCAUUUCUGAGAAUCUUGGGUUCCUGAAAACGCCCUAGUUGGAUGGCUUGCCAGGGCCUUGAGGUCUGGCAGUGAUUGUACAACUUAAAGCUCCUUUCUCUCGGCUGAGUGACAGGCAGCUGUUCAGGUGGACCAAAGCACCUUGACACAAGGACUCUACACUCUGCUCUCUAGUAGCACAAGGAGGAAGUUGGACAGAACAUUGGGUAGUGCCUUGUGGGCUCCCACAUGUACUAGUGGUCUCAUCUCCAGCUGGCCUUGGGAGGCUGUCCCACCAGGAAAUUUGUAUAUUCUCUAGCCUGAGAUGUGGCCCUUGUGGGUUUUAUCCUGCCCAGUCAGUGGCCUAGUGGCAGGUGCUGUGUUCUCUCCCUCUCCCUCUUGGCUCUGGGACAUCUGUCCCUGGCUGCCUUUUAUAGAGGAAGGACACUGGCCUUUCUGGUUGGACGCUGUGUGGAUGCUCUCUGCUUGAGCCUCAUAGUCUCUGGUCUUGUCUCUUCUUGGACCAGUAUCCUCAGACUGGUGCAGCUUUUUCAGUUCAGAUAUCACACCCCAAGUGGAUGAAGGCAACUUGCAGGAGAGGAGAGCCAGCCAAGAAGAAAAUUUUAAAACCAAACCUAGUUUGGGAUUUUCCUAAAGUCAUGUCCUCUUUUUUCUUGCUCAGAGUUUACCUGGGAGAUUUCACCAGUUUGACUCACCAUUUGCAGAAGACGUGCUUUUGUAUUAAGCUUAAAUUUUCACAUAUCACAUCCAUUCUCAAGGUAGUUAUAUGCUGGAGAAGAAAAAUCCUCUAGACACAUGAAGGCCCACACAGUCAACUCUUCCAGGGCAAAGCCAGCAGCCCACCCAGGUCAAGUAGCCAGCAGGGCUCCGUUCCCCGCACUCCAGACAUGGACCCUCCCCUUCAGGGUCUCUUGACCCAGCUUCCUUCUCUCCUUUUCCCUGAGAGCACAGACCUCUCUCACUCAGCCAGCCUGCCCAGACCACAGGGGGCCGUUCCCAUGUAGCUUGGGGAGUACUUGAUCUCUGAAAGGCUCCAGUGUCUGAGCAAGCAGGGAGUUGUAGAGCUCAAGCCUUUCUUCUGUGCUCAAGUCCCUUCCCCAAGCAAGGCUUCAACCUAAUAUACUCACCAUGUAGUUUUCUCUGGCCAUUUAAAUGGGGCAGGGACAUGGUUGGGCCAUGCCACACCAGGGCUGGUGAGGCAAACAGUUUUGAUUUUGACAGAGUGGCUGGAUGAAACGUGGCAAUCAAGGUGCUGCUUGGUUUGCUCUGAGUGCAAAUGGAACCAACAGGUUUCUGCUGCAAUCUGUGUGUUCCCAGUGCCAGGUGACACCAGGAAGGGUCGGGCAGGGCUAACCAAGUUGUCUCUGAAUUCACUGAGCAUCUGCACUUAGUUGUGAAGUUAAUGGGAGUACACAGAGUAUCUGGCCUUGGAGAGGGAUUGAGAGCCUCCUUUUUGGUUCUUCAUUCCUGAGCUCUUGCCUGCCCACAAAUCUGACCUCUUUGAAUGGGGGCCCAGUCCUUCAUCACACUGAAGAUAGGACAGAGAAGUUUCUAUUUAGCCCUAGAUCCAGCAGGAGUCAUCCAUUCUAACUGCCCUGAAGUCUAGAGCAGGGGAGGGAACCCAGAGGCUGGGGAUGAGACUAGGCAGACCCUGGUUAUCAUAGGGACAAGGACAGGGAAAAGCACCCCCUUCCUCAGUUUUUGCGAGUCCUGUCUUUGGGUUCACAGGACUUUGAGGAUGGUGAAGAACGUAGUUACUAGCCUGUUGUUCCUGGUCCGAAGCUUCCACAGCCCUCAGAACCUGGCUUUUGUGGCUGCUCUGGCAGGUGCCAAGCAAAGGGAGAAGGGAGGAAGGCAGCUGCUCUGGUGGGGACUCUAGGAACCUUCCCAGCUGUCCACUUGGAUAGGUGGUGAGCCCCAGGGUACUGAGAGGAGCCUGAGCAUUCACCUGCCAUUAGUGCCUCUUCCUUCAGGAGACUGGCUUGAAAUGUGUGUGUGUGUGUGUGUGUGUGUGUGUGUGUGUGUGUGUGUGUGUGCGCGCGCGCACACAGAUGAGCACCUGUAUGUGUUAAUGAAUAGUUUUUCUUGGUUAAUAUUUUUUAACUUCUGUUCCUUUCCAUAAGUGGAUGAUUCAAAAUUAAUGUGACUUGGCCAGGUGCAGUGGGAUUACAGGAUCACACCUGUAAUCCCAGCACUUUGGGAGGCCGAGGUGGGCGGAUCACCCGAGGUCAGGAGUUCAAGACCAGCCUGUCCAGCAUGGUGAAACCCCGUUUCUAUUAAAUAUACAAAAACUAGCCUGCCGUGGUGGCGGGCGCCUGUAAUCCCAGCUACUCAGGAUGCUGAGGCAGGAGAAUCGCUUGAACCCAGGAGGCAGAGGUUGCAGUGAGCUGAGAUCGCGCCACUGCACUCCAGCCUGGGCGACAGAGCGAGACUCCAUCUCAAAAAAAAGAAAAAAGAAAAAAACAAGAUGAAUGUGACUGGAGUUAAAGGUGAAAUGUCAGGUUGUUUAGUCACUGAAUUCAGAGAGCUACAAGUGCUUGGUCUUUCCCAAGAGUCAAACCCGAGUAGAAAUACAUUUAAAAGAAAAAUCUACCACAUGGUACCUAUGAAUCUUGUAAUUUGUUUAGGGAGAUCUUGUCACUCAUCCCUGGUUCCUGCCCAUACAGUUUUGUCUCAUUCUUGCAGUUUGCUUGAAACAGGGCCAGAGCCCCACAUGAGACUCUCAGCAGGAGUGAGGAGCGGGCGCUGGCCCCAGCAGGGACCCAGCACAGCAACCGGGUUGUUCCGUUAGACUGGGUCAGGGCCAGGGGAGAAGCAGUCACCCUGUGUAGAGGGUUCCUGCUGCGCUUCUGAGCAGUUGCUUUGUUCAGAAGCCUUAGGAGGGUCGGAUUGUGCCAUAAUUGUUAUCAAAGAGAAAACACGCCCACCUUCUUCUCUCCCCUGCUGGCCAUUGUUCAUUGAGAGUUUGACUGAGCGCAGCCUUUGUGGAAGUCAGGGAGGUUGCCAAAGGCCUGUAGAUGCCUCCUGACAAGGUCUUCAUUCCUGGUUUUCUAGCACCCAUUUGCAUUUUAGUCUUCAGCACAAAGCCUUGUUCCCUGUGUAAGACUGGGGAGUGACUGUUGAGCAGUCUGCUGUCAGGAGAGAUGGCUGAAAAGGUGAUCAUCUUGGUGCUAAACAAGAGACAACUGCCCUGUUUUUGUUUGUUCUGAGGCACAAUGAAACUUUAGCCAAACUCUGCAAGAGGGUCCCCUCUCCUGUCAUGGCCAGGUGAGCGACCAAACCGCGAACACGGCACACUCUGUCACUGAAGCCUCGGUAGAAUGGCGAUUCUUUACCCUGGGUAAAUGUUUUAACAAAAAAAUGAACCCAACUUUGGUUUGGACUGUGGUCGCGCCGAGGCAGGAGUUGGGCUUUCCCUCUUGGGGCUGAAUCUCCAGGCCUCAUGAGGUCCCCUGUGGGGAUGCUGCUAUUUCUAAGAUGCAAAUUGCACAUUUCCUAGAUUUUGUAUCUGGAUUUGGAUAAAGGAGGGGAACAGGGACAAAUUGCUUGUACAAUUUGAAAUGGGCCUCAAUGGUACUUCGAACCUUUUGAUUAUUCCUAAAUAAAAACAUAAAUAUAUUUCA